GAUGAACGCUGGCGGCGUGCCUAAUACAUGCAAGUCGAGCGAACGGACGAGAAGCUUGCUUCUCUGAUGUUAGCGGCGGACGGGUGAGUAACACGUGGAGAACCUACCUAUAAGACUGGGAUAACUUCGGGAAACCGUAGCUAAUACCGGAUAAUAUUUUGAACCGCAUGGUUCAAAAGUGAAAGACGGUCUUGCUGUCACUUAUAGAUGGAUCCGCGCUGCAUUAGCUAGUUGGGAAGGUAACGGCUUACCAAGGCAACGAUGCAUAGCCGACCUGAGAGGGUGAUCGCCCACACUGGAACUGAGACACGGUCCAGACUCCUACGGGAGGCAGCAGUAGGGAAUCUUCCGCAAUGGGCGAAAGCCUGACGGAGCAACGCCGCGUGAGUGAUGAAGGUCUUCGGAUCGUAAAACCCUGUUAUUAGGGAAGAACAUAUGUGUAAGUAACUGUGCACAUCUUGACGGUACCUAAUCAGAAAGCCACGGCUAACUACGUG
rnacentral:rRNA from 1 species